GACGAACGCUGGCGGCGUGCUUAACACAUGCAAGUCGAACGCUGAAGCUCAGCUUUUGUUGGGUGGAUGAGUGGCGAACGGGUGAGUAACACGUGAGUAACCUGCCUCCUUCUUUGGGAUAACGCCCGGAAACGGGUGCUAAUACUGGAUAUUCACUGGUCUUCGCAUGGGGGUUGGUGGAAAGGGUUUUUCUGGUGGGGGAUGGGCUCGCGGCCUAUCAGCUUGUUGGUGGGGUGAUGGCCUACCAAGGCUUUGACGGGUAGCCGGCCUGAGAGGGUGACCGGUCACAUUGGGACCGAGAUACGGCCCAGACUCCUACGGGAGGCAGCAGUGGGGAAUAUUGCACAAUGGGCGCAAGCCUGAUGCAGCGACGCCGCGUGAGGGAUGGAGGCCUUCGGGUUGUGAACCUCUUUCGCUCAUGGUCAAGCCGCAACAAUGGUUGUGGUGAGGGUAGUGGGUAAAGAAGCGCCGGCUAACUACGUG
rnacentral:rRNA from 1 species